GACGAACGCUGGCGGCGUGCUUAACACAUGCAAGUCGAACGGUAAGGCCCUUCGGGGUACACGAGUGGCGAACGGGUGAGUAACACGUGGGUGAUCUGCCCUGCACUUCGGGAUCAGCCUGGGAAACUGGGUCUAAUACCGGAUAAGACCACUGCCCGCCUGGGCGGUGGUGGAAAGCUUUUGUGGUGUGGGAUGGGCCCGCGGCCUAUUGGGUUGUUGGUGGGGUGAUGGUCUACCAAGGAGACGACGGGUAGCCGGCCUGAGAGGGUGACCGGCCACACUGGGACUGAGGUACGGCCCAGACUCCUAGGAGAGGCAGCAGUUGGGAAUAUUGCACAAUGGGCGCAAGCCUGGUGCAGCGACGCCGCGUGAGGGAUGACGGCCUUCGGGUUGUAAACCUCUUUCAGCACCGACGAAGCGCAAGUGACGGUAGGUGCAGAAGAAGGACCGGCCAACUACGUGCCAGCCGCCGCGGUAA
rnacentral:rRNA from 1 species